rnacentral:rRNA from 1 species
ACGUAGUAAAGUGGAAUGUUUACAUAAUUUUGGUAAUGAUAUGUUAACCGAGCAAUAUAUAUCUGGUUACUUUUGAAAUAAAUUUAAUUUGAUCUUUGUGAAUAACUUUUGCAGAGGGGUAUUUAUAGAGGGAAGAGCUUCUAUAAAAUUUAUGAUAUAUAGUUAAUGUUUAUUUUGAUUUAAGACUAGGCUUAAGAUCAGCCUUGUCUACAACGCGUUUUAGCGGAUAAUUUUUGUGUUUUUAUUUUUUAUUUUACUUGUAAUUGUUAGAAAGUUAAUUUUGUAAUAUUUUAGUGGAUGAAAGAAUGGUUAUAUAAGUAUGCGUUAUUGUGGGAAGAAGUUAAAUUAAAAUAGAUUUUCUUGUUAUAUUUUUAUAGGUAGGAUAAAGGAACUCGACAACUUUUAUUUUCGCCUGUUUAUCAAAAACAUGUCCACAUGAAAUAAGUAUGUGGUUCGGCCUGCCCACUGAUAUUUAAAGGGCCGCGGUAUUUGAACCGUGCUAAGGUAGCAUAAUCAAUAGUCCCUUAAUUGGGGUCUUGAAUGAAUGGUUAGACGAAAAAUAGAUUGUCUUUGAGCUAUUAAGUUGAAUUUUACCUUUAAGUGAAAAGGCUUAGAUUUUUAGUGGGACGAUAAGACCCUAUGAAGCUUUACGUUUUUUCUUCUGAGUUACUUUAAUUUUUGUAAAAGAGUUUAAGGAGGGGGAGCGUUAAGCUGGGGCGGCUGGAAUAUAAAGUUAACUGUUCUUAAAGUAAAUAAUAAUAGUUAUAAUGUUUGAUCCUUCAUUUGGGGAUAAAGAGAUUUAAGUUACUCUAGGGAUAACAGCGUAA